CGGCGCGAUGCGGCAAACUGCAGACUACUGCGGGGCCGCCUGCCACCAACGUGAAGAUUUUUCAUAAAAACACCCGUCGAGACGAGCGCGAUCGACACGGCGGAAAAUUAUUUAAACACAAAUUUACAAAGUUAUGACGUCUGAAGCGGAGAUGGAUAGUUUAGACGAAGCAAAAUACAUUUGCUGGACGGCUGCAGUAUGUGGAAAUCUAUAUUCCGUUGGUCCGUUAUCAAAUCUUUGAUGACGUUUGAAGUUGAAAUAAUGAAAUCAAAAAUGGCUGUGCAUCAAUAGUUCGAUCAAACUCGACGUGGCGGUGGAUUGUUUGUAUUCAGUUAAACAUAGACUGUUAAACGUAUUAUAGACGUCAAUCAUUAAUUUAUUCAUAAUACUGUCCAAGACGAAGAAAUUAGACCUGCGCAUUUGCACAUAUUUUCUGCGCAUAAUAUAGUCCGAACAUUUGAGGUCGUUAUUGUGCAUUAUAAAAUAAAGGAAGGAUAUUGUUGGUUGGUAAACACUUGUGUAGUUUUGGCAGAUUUUCAAGUGGGCACCCAUAGGUAUCUGCCAUGCCCGGGUGGGGGAUGGCGGCACUUGUUCUUCGGACACAGUGACUUGCCGAAUAAAACUGCCGCCCGUGAACCGAGGUUUGAACCAGCGCCGGUGUGCAUCACAACCGACGCCUUAGUCCGCUCGGCCACUCCGUCCCCCAAAGUAUAAUUUAUAUUCAUAUAAUUUGUUUCUACCUAUUACUGCAUAAUAUAUUAUUAAUUAUUAUAUUAUAUGAAUAAAUUACUGAUAGGUACCUAUUAUAAAUUAUAAAUUAUAAUAAAUUAACUUUAAAAGCGAAGUUUAUAAUGUCACAAUCAUAAGUUAAAACA